UAAUAACGACUCUCGGCAACGGAUAUCUCGGCUCUCGCAUCGAUGAAGAACGUAGCGAAAUGCGAUACUUGGUGUGAAUUGCAGAAUCCCGUGAACCAUCGAGUCUUUGAACGCAAGUUGCGCCCGACGCCUUCUGGCCGAGGGCACGUCUGCCUGGGUGUCACGC
rnacentral:rRNA from 1 species